AACGAACGCUGGCGGCAUGCCUAACACAUGCAAGUCGAACGAGACCUUCGGGCCUAGUGGCGCACGGGUGCGUAACGCGUGGGAACCUGCCCUUAGGUUCGGAAUAACUCCCCGUAAGGGGUGCUAAUACCGGUUAAUGUCUUCGGACCAAAGAUCUAUCGCCUUUGGAUGGGCCCGUGUUGGAUUAGCCAGUUGGUAGGGUAAAAGCCUACCAAGGCGACGAUCCAUAGCUGGUCUGAGAGGAUGAUCAGCCACACUGGGACUGAGACACGGCCCAGACUCCUACGGGAGGCAGGAGUGGGGAAUAUAGGACAAUGGGCGAAAGCCUGAUCCAGCAAUGCCGCGUGAGUGAUGAAGGCCUUAGGGUUGUAAAGCUCUUUUACCCGGGAUGAUAAUGACAGUACCGGGAGAAUAAGCACCGGCUAACUCCGUG
rnacentral:rRNA from 1 species